ACGUGAGGAGAAAAGCUGCAGAGCAGCAUGUAAGACUGAAACUCUGCUUCCUCUGACAUAGUUUCAGAAAAUCUUGUAAAUGCGGUGCUGAUGUAGGAUUUUCCUCUCCCCUGUAUUCCCCUUUUCCUAAUGUUAUUCUCCAUGUUAUCAGUCCUCUUGUUCUGGCUCACUAUUUUUUUUUUAUCUUUCUCUCAUUGCUCUUUCUCUCCCUCUUAGUGAUGUGUCGGUCGCGAACGAAACAGCUCUUAGCGCUGGUUUUUUGAGGUGAACGACGGGAGCGUGUUUCACUUUUUUUUGCUUCACGCCACACGUGAGCCUUGUGCUUGCGCUGAGCAGAGGGGGGAGGGGCGCAAACACAGCCUUAUCUUUGCCGAGCAGAGGGGGGAGGGGCAGUGGUUACACUCAGUACACAGGAACUGAGCAGGAGGGAGAGGAAGAGAAAGAGAGCCAAGGGCAACAGCAAGAGACAACCUCAUCACAUUAGAAAGUGUAGAGUCUGCAAGAAAAGGAUACCAUAGAGCUCCACAAACAACCUGCACAGGCACCUGAGAACUGUCUACCCAUCAAUGCAAUGGGAAGCUAACGCAGUCAGUUGAGUGUGAUAGUAAUGAAUGAUGCCAGUGUGUCUACUGCAACUGUUGCUGCUGCUGCUGCACCUACAGCACCUUGCAGUAUACCACCUAAACCAGCCCAGACCUGGCAAAAAUGAUUGCACUUGAUUUCCAACUAUUUUCAUUUGUGGAUGUUAAAGUAUUCAGAAAGUUUAUUCAUGCACUGAAUCCUAUGUAUGCAGUUCCAAGCAGGAAAACACUCUCCCAAAAAAUCCUCCCAGGCCUAUAUGACAGAGAACGUGCAUCUUCUUUUGGUUUUGCGUAUUAAUUUAUAUUUUAUUGUGUUGUGAUCUGCAGUGUUUUGUGUUGUUUCACUUUAAAUUUGUUUAAAAGGAAAAGGAUGAAAAUUUAAAUACUUAAAAGUAGAAUUGUAAAUA